rnacentral:rRNA from 1 species
AUCAACUUUCGAUGGUAGGAUAGAGGCCUACCAUGGUGGUAACGGGUAACGGGGUGUUAGGGCACGACACCGGAGAGGGAGCCUGAGAAACGGCUACCACAUCCAAGGAUGGCAGCAGGCGCGCAAAUUACCCAAUCCCGACACGGGGAGGUAGUGACAAUAAAUAACAAUACGGGGUUCUUUCGGAUCUCGUAAUUGGAAUGAGUACAAUUUAAAUCUCUUAACGAGGAACAAUUGGAGGGCAAGUCUGGUGCCAGCAGCCGCGGUAAUUCCAGCUCCAAUAGCGUAUAUUAAAGUUGUUGCAGUUAAAAAGCUCGUAGUUGAAUUUCGGGAUCAAUAUGUUGGUCGUGCCUUGGUACGUACUGGCGUCAUUGGUUUCUACCUUCUGAAGAACCUCGAUGUCAUUAAUUUGGUGUCUUGGGGAAUCAGGACUGUUACUUUGAAAAAAUUAGAGUGUUUAAAGCAGGCUCACGCUUGAAUACAUUAGCAUGGAAUAAUGAAAUAGGACGUUUGAUUCUAUUUUGUUGGUUUCUAGGAUCGACGUAAUGAUUAAUAGGGAUAGUUGGGGGCAUUAGUAUUCAAUUGUCAGAGGUGAAAUUCUUGGAUUUAUUGAAGACUAACUACUGCGAAAGCAUUUGCCAAGGAUGUUUUCAUUAAUCAAGAACGAAAGUUAGGGGAUCGAAGACGAUCAGAUACCGUCGUAGUCUUAACCAUAAACUAUGCCGACUAGGGAUCGGAUGAUGUUAAUUUUUUAAUGACUCAUUCGGCGCCUUACGNAAACCAAAGUGUUUGGGUUC